GUCAUCACAUGGGUAGCUCAGUUGUUAGAACAUGAGACUUAAUCUCAAAGUCGUGGGUUCAAGCCCCACAUUGGACA